GAGAGUGGCAUGAGGCUCUGAAUCCACCGGGGUUCCACUGAUGGAUGGUCUGUCCAGAUGGUAUCCCGCAGACACACACAUUUCAUGGUGUAACCCCCCCCCAUCACCUCCAACUCCACCAUCUCUCUGCCUGGAAAAGCCGACCUCAGUUCAUCUGAACGUCACCCCAGACAGGUGUUGCUCUGCCCGUCUUUCCGCAGGUCUUCCAGUCCCGUCAGCUGCGUGGUGGGCCACCGACGGUUGCCGUGGGGAUUCCUGGGUGACGCCCACACGCAGCCCCAGUGGCUGCUCAAGUGGUCCAUCAGCAGUCUGCCUGAUUGGUCGAUUGGCUCCUCUGCAGGCCUGCCUGCUUAUGAGACCUGCAGUGAAGAUUCCUGGUGGCCAAUCGAAUACAGCCGUCUGGUCCCCCACCCGCCCCUGCUUCCAAUCCCCAUGGCUUUACCGCCGGAUUGCCCCAGGUCUGAACAGUAGCGUCAGGCCCGCCGGAACAUUCCAGUAUCCUCGGAGGAUUGCUCUCCCGCGACGUGACAUCAUUGUCCGCACCCACCGCAAAAUCCACAUCAUGGUUACUGCACACGCCACACACAAAGCCUGUCCUGUGGGUUCAUUCACCAUGCACUUAAUACGGCUGAACCCCCCAGUUCUGUAAUGUGCUGGUACUCUCAUAACGUGCUACCAUGCUGACUGAACCCCAGGCUUUUGCCUUCAAAAAGUUGACUCUGGUGUCAUACGUAUAUAAAAAAUGCAGAACGACAAAACAUUUAAAAUGCUUGCUGAAUUAAUCUGUGUUGGAAUAAAAACCCAGGAGGCAUCCAUUCCUCGCAGUGGUGCUCACUUACCUGACCUGGCCGUCAAAGGAUUUUAGGCCGUCUGUGUUCAUUUCCGGGAGAACUCUUCCAAGAAUAUAUACCUCAACGGAAAAAUGGCAUGCAGCAGUAGCGUCCAGAUCCCACGUUCCACUGACGGUGUUUAAUCUACAGGACGUAAUGACGCAAGAAAUCUUUUCAAUCUACUGCACUCCACUGCUGACUGAAUCUGCUUGCUUAAUAGGAGGGUGGCCGAGACCACUUUUCUGCCUUCCAGUGUAACGUGACGUUUCUUCGUUUUUUCAUGGUUUGGCCAUGGUUUAGACCAGCUGUUUCCUCGGCGUGCCCCGUAAUCGUGUCUGUUCUCUUUCCGCAUUAGUUAAUCCCUUAACUGGGGCCGCUUGGGUCAGGCUUUCGGUGCAGCUGAGCGUGACGAUGGGAUGGAUGUAUGUUCGGACUCCAAUGGUGCAUCCGCUCCUGAAAGUGUAUGGAUUUUAUUCUGCUAUAAUAAAUGUGCUCGUGCCCUAAAUAUAAAGAUUUUAUUAAGUAAAUGAAAAUGGACGUUGUGGGGCG